CACGUAGGAUCCGAGCGUUAUCCGGAUUUACUGGGCGUAAAGCGCGUGCAGGUGGUUUGCUAAGUUGGGUGUUAAAUCUCUCGGCUCAACUGAGAGGUGUCGCUCAAAACUAGCAGGCUGGAGGACGGUAGAGGAAGGCAGAAUUCCGGGUGUAGUGGUGAAAUGCGUAGAUAUCCGGAGGAAUACCAGUGGCGAAGGCGGCCUUCUGGACCGUUCCUGACACUCAGACGCGAAAGCUAGGGGAGCAAACGGGAUUAGAAACCCCCGUAGUCC
rnacentral:rRNA from 1 species